AAUUUUUUGGUUUAGUGGGAAAAUGUUAGGUUUACCCCUAGAAUAGGUUGAGGGUUCGAACCCCACUAGCGGUA